ensembl:lncRNA
AGGUCUGCUUCCUUUGCGUCAUGAAAUUAAUUGUGCAGUUUAGUCCAUACGCUGCAUACAACUUCUGCUUUUCCCUUGCACUUUUUAUGACUCAGACUGGUACCUUGAGUAGCUGAACCAUUUCUUUGAAGAAGAGCUUUUAUUUUCCUCUGUAUGUGGAACAGGUAUUGGUUGCAUUGAUCUGAGUUGUGUAAUCCCAGAUGAUGCAAAUUCUGAUAAUGCAGAACAGAAAGAGUGAAAGAAAAACUGCGUGGGCCCUAAUCCUUUCUCACAGGCAGAAGAUCGGCUUUGGAUUGCAGCACGUCAAAAUGAAAAUUAAUCCUUUCCCUUGAAAAAAAGGAAGUGCCAGUUCUCUUCUGUGAUGCCAUACAACUCUGCAGUGCUAGUCUUGCCUCCAAAAGCUGCCUGGUUCUUGUUCAAACUUAUACUGGACCUCCUAAAAAGGGAGUGUAAAUUGAAAGACCAUCAACAGUCAGAAGUGAUGCUAUUUCAUACCUCUUCAAAUCAGAAACUGCAGACAAUGUAAUUCUGCAAGUCUGUCAUGUUUUGUAGCCUUUCAUCUAGCAAGAUUUUAAGAUGUCUUAAUUUUAUCUGCUGCCAGGCCUGUAAAAAAGAUUCUUACUGAUUAAUGUGUAUAUAUAUUUUUUUUAACUGAAUGGAGAGGUUACGGUUUUUGAAACAUUUCUGGAAUUUGGGAUAAUUGAAAGAUUUUCUUGGAGAUUUGCAAUACUGAAUUAUAACCUGUACUGAGACUGGUACUUAGUUGGACUGCAUUGUAUUGAAAAUGUUAAUUUCUGAUUCUUUAAUGACAACAUAUGCAUAACUAAGAUUUGGCAUAUAUACCUGUAUUGCCUAUGUGUAUUUUACUUUACAAAGACACAGACUGGCCACAGGUUGAGCGAGAAGGAGGGCUGUGUGAUACUUACAAUGGAAUAGCCCAGAACUGUAAUGUUCAUUUCCUUACUCAGAAUUAUCUUACUGAUACUGCAUAGCAAUCAGGAAUUCAUGCAUCUAUUUUCUGCGUAUUAUAUAUUCUUCAUCUAGUAAUCUCAUUAAUGAAAAGCUUU